rnacentral:rRNA from 1 species
CAGUCGCCACGGUAAUACGAAGGGUGCAAGCGUUAAUCGGAAUUACUGGGCGUAAAGCGUGCGUAGGCGGUUUGUUAAGUCUGCUGUGAAAUCCCCGGGCUCAACCUGGGAAUGGCAGUGGAUGCUGGCAAGCUAGAGUGUGUCAGAGGAUGGUUGAAUUCCCGGUGUAGCGGUGAAAUGCGUAGAGAUCGGGAGGAACAUCAGUGGCGAAGGCGGCCAUCUGGGACAACACUGACGCUGAGGCACGAAAGCGUGGGGAGCAAACAGGAUUAGAUACCCCUGUAGUCCCUGUCUCUUAUAC